CACUCUUCUGCAGUUUGUCCCUGGGAGAAUCCCAAACACCCACCAGAAAGCCAAUAAAUCCCAAUCGUCAGCACUACUCAAACGGUUGUCUGGAAAUUAAAUGUCACCCAGGAAGAACAUGGCUUGGAGAGCUCCUCACUCAGCAGGCAGAGGCCAGGGGCAGAGGAAGAGAGCUUCUGUGAGCACAGGCUGAAAGCUGCAUCCAAAAGCGGACAUGGAAAGUCACCUAUCCCACCUUCAGGCACGAACACCAGCAGCAGUCAUACCUCUGGGGCAGCCUGAUGACUGAACGCACCAUCAAGCAAGGACGGUAGAUUCUGCAGAGGAGCAGCUCGUCAGACUCACCA